UGGGGAAUCUUGGACAAUGGGCGAAAGCCUGAUCCAGCCAUGCCGCGUGAGUGACGAAGGCCUUCGGGUUGUAAAGCUCUUUUAGCAGGGAAGAUAAUGACGGUACCUGCAGAAUAAGCCCCGGCUAACUUCGUGCCAGCAGCCGCGGUAAUACGAAGGGGGCUAGCGUUGUUCGGAAUUACUGGGCGUAAAGCGUGCGCAGGCGGCUUUGCAAGACAGAUGUGAAAUCCCCGGGCUCAACCUGGGAACUGCAUUCAAAACUGACUGACUAGAGUAUGGUAGAGGGUGGUGGAAUUUCCUGUGUAGCGGUGAAAUGCGUAGAUAUAGGAAGGAACACCAGUGGCGAAGGCGACCACCUGGACUAAUACUGACACUGAGGUGCGAAAGCGUGGGGAGCAAACAGGAUUAGAUACCCUCGUAGUCCCUGAGCGGGCUGGCAAGGCGCAU
rnacentral:rRNA from 1 species